CACACAUACACUUAUACAUAUUAUAUUGUAUAUAUUAUUCCAUAUGUACUUAUAUGGAAUAAGAGGGCUUAUUUGUUUGCAAACCUAUCAUAUAGAACUUAAACACAUGUCAGACACCAUUCUGGGCAUUAUACAAAUUCCAGGUCAUUUAAUACUCAUAGCAACAUUAUGAGGCAGGCUGCUACUAUUAUUCUUAUUUUAUAGAUGAGAAAUGGAGGCACAGGGGUAGUUAAGUGACCUGCCCAAGAGAACACAGUUUAUGGCAGCAUUAGGCAGGCUUUGACUCCAGACAGUCUGAUCCCAGAGUCCAGGCUCUGACAUAAUUUGAACCUUUGCCUCCUUUUUGUGGUUAGAUUUUAAAUGUCUCCUAUGAUCGCCAUGAUUCCCUUCCCUGGAUGGAAAGAGUCCAUUCGUCUAGCGUGCCAAAUGAAUGGCUGUGAGUUUCACCAAGCAAGCUGACUGAAGACCGUCAGCAAGUAUCUACUGAGCAUCUCUGUGGCUCAGACCCCAAUUUGGAUAAGGAAGAAGGUCGAUGGGACCAGAAUUCCUGCAGAGGGGAUGUGAGAAGAAGGAAGAACGCAAGGGUGGCUCCAAGAUUCACAGCUUCGGCGGCUGGAGGACUGGCUGCAGGAGCACUUCCUAAGUGACCGAGGCCAGAAGAGCAGCAGGCGUGAGAGAAAGGUCCCAGAUGUGAUUUUAGCUUCGUUAAUUCUGAGAUGCUGCGUUAGUUUUCUAUUACUGCUGUAACAGGUUACCACAAACCUAGCAGCUUAACACACACAUAUGUAUUAUCUUAUAGCUCUGUAGGUUAAAAGGCGACACGGGUCUCACUGGGCUAAAAGCAGGGGUGUGGGCAGGACCACGUUCCUUCUGGGCGCUCCAGAGGAAUCUGUUUCCUUGACUUUUCCAGCCUCUAGAGGUUGCCCAUGUUCCUUGGCUCGGGGCCCCUUCCUCCCACCCCAGAGCCAGCCAACAGGGGCAAAGUCCUUCUUGUAGGGCACCUCCCUGACUUUUCUGUCUCUUCUGCUUAGAAGGACCCUUGUGAUUACAUUGGACCCUCUGCCUGCCGACGAUCCAGGGGGAUCUGCCUGUGAAGGAUGGAAAUAAAUUAGGUGCUGAGCUCACAUGCAGGAUUUUGAAUCUAAUAGAAAAGAUGAAAAAAGAAAGAAAAACAUGAACCUUUUUCGUCUUGCUGAUGCCCUGGUUUUGCUGGUGGGUGAGCCUUUGCUUACUUACUCUGUGUAAAGGAUCCAGCCCUUUGUCCGGAAUGUUUCCUGUAUGCGUCCUGCCAGUCAGCGGGCCGGGCUGUCGCUGUCAGACUGUGUGUCUACAGCAGACUCCUGGAGAAACAGCAUGCUUAUGUCACGAGCCACGUCUGUCAUGGCAGGAUCCAUGUUUCUCCUCAGGCUAAUCAUAUCUGAUGCAGGCACCAGGGCUCCCCCCCUUAAAAGCAAGGAUACCAGCUUGGGAAGAGGUGCCUUAAAGAUCAAAACCGGGUCUGCGGCAGUGACAUGCGGGUUUGUGAAUCGGGAAUGGCAGCGUCAAAUCUCUCCUGAAGCCAGGAGACAGCCGUUGGCCGGCAGAAACGGAGCACGGGGCGUUGCUGGCUCCAAUUAGGGAGACACGAUUUGCAAAGCGGCCAUGUUCACGGGCGGUGUUCCGUGAAGUCCUGUACAGAACGCUAGAAAAAUCAUCGAGGAAGGAACAGGUGACGUGUGAGAUGCAAGCAGGUCUGUAUCUCACACGAGACAAGAGCAGAAAAGAGUUGCCUCUUCCCACCUUUCACUUUGAGGAGAGAUGGUUUUGCUCUGGACGGGCUGGGUGGUUUUUGUUUCUAUUAGGGAGAACAAGGGAGCAGGAGCUAAGAACUGAGAUUCAAACCUGGUAAGAUGAUGAUGGUGAUAAUCAUCAUCAUCAUCAUCAUCAUCAUCAUCAUCAUCAUCACUAUGUUCAUUUAGGGACCUUAAAAUAAUUAUUGUUUAGAGGCUCAAAUAAUAAUAACAAAAUAGUAACAUAUUACUUAACAUUUAUUGGUACUUAUUAUGUGCUAGUCAGUCUCUCUUAAUCCAUUUAAUCCUCAUUAAAAACCAUGCUAGAACUUUUCACUACUUAAUUAUUCCUUGACAUAUUGAACGCUUAUUUAGCCCACACUCUGUGACACACGGUUCAAGCUAUUUCUCACAACACCAAGAGGUAGGUGCGGUCAUCCUCUUGCAGACACUCAGAGAGGGUGAGUGGUUUCCCAAAGCCAUCCGGCUAGUGGCUGGCAGGAGCUUCGAAUUCAUAUCUAGCUCAUAAUUUUUCCUUCAUCCCGGACUACCUCUCAACCCACGCCCCCCACCCCCCAACCCGAUGUUUCAGCAUGUAUCAGUACAGGAGCCCUUGGGGAAGUCCCCAAGCUCACUGUCCCCUCAUUUGUGUCAUUAUCCUUUGUGCUGAGAAGUUAAAUGGGAGAUGACAUCAAAUUCCUCAGAUGACACAUAAGUACAUUCCAGUUGAAUCGUGCCCGGUGUGUUUCUCUUUAUACUGGAACCUCAAUAAUAUAGUAAUCCAGUCAUUCAUUUUCAUCAGGAUUUAAGUAACAUAUAGUCCACAACUACGUGUGUGGUGAACGUAGUAUAGUGUUGUCAAAUCAAAAUGUUGUACACUUGAAACUAGCGUAACACUGUAUGUCUGUACUUCACUUUUAUAGACAUACAUAUAUACAUACAUCUGUAUACACACAUACACAGAUACACACACACACAGCUAGAUAUAAAAAUAGCACUAAGAGUCAUGGCUUUGGAUCUGUUCGUGUUUCCCUAAAGCACAAGCUUUCCCUGCCUGUGGUGUCAACAAACAUCUUCCUAUCUAAGGGCUGAGGAAUGGAAGGUACAGAUAACCUAACAGGAACCAUACUUAGGGGGUCUUGAACAGCCCCUAUGUUACAGUCAUUUCAUGUCACUGGGGAAAUUCAAAAUAGAAGUUCAUUGUGAUUUCAGAUAUUCAUCACGGAUGUGCUUAUAGAAAAACCUAUCUGGUGUAGUAAAAUUAGGAUGAUACAAUCUUUCUGGUCAUUUCAUGCCUGUCACUGAAAUGUAUUUUGUGGAAAGUCUGAUGAAAUCAGCCACAACUUUUUAAAGAAACAAUCCCAUCUACGGUUUGGACUAUGUAUGUUUAGACAUGUGUAACAGUGAAAGUGAAUUAGAAAGUACUUGGUAAACUUUGUUUUCUCCCAUAACUAUGUCUAUAAGCAAACUAAAUUCAAUGACCUCUUUUACUAAACUCUUCCAGAAUUCUAUUGGUUUCGUAUUUACAUCCAUUCUUCUUUAAUUAAAUAAAUGAAUGUAUAAUCACGAUUUAUGAUUAUACUCUGUUUUGCCUUCAGAAGGAAAAUGAGGCAUGUAUACAUUCUGAUGGGAAGUGAAAAAAGAAAAAUAAACCUAUGAGGUGAUAUGUAUAAUGAAGAGCAAAAAUGUGUGAAAAAAAUUAAGGUGAAACCAAAAUUAAGAUUAACAUACCAGUCGCAUGCCAUGAGGUCCUAAGUGGAUGAUAAAGAUGGGCCAUAAAUUUAGUUUUGAACUUCCUGGUGGCCAAAGCAAAAAAGACAUAUUAUCAUUAGUUUAUUCAUUCAAGGAAAAUAAACUAAUCUGCUAGUAUUUGAUAGGUGCCCUUGAGGGCAUUAUCAUCUUCCAAAGAUUAUAAUGCAUCAUUCAAGAGAUGCACAUCUUUUCCUAAUGUUAAGAGCUAAGGGAAAGUCCUCUUGUGGAUCCUCAUAAAACAAGUCUAGUUGAUUUUUCUAUUGUGCAAUGACAAAUAAUUGCAGUGAGUCGAUGAAGCGGUGGUAAUGAUGUAUAUAAAGUACAGAGAGAAUGCAGGAGAAGGACAUGUGAGUCAGCCUGAAGAAAUGAGAGUCCUGAUGACUAGUUAGCAUUUAGGUCAUUCUUGAGAACUGAUGAAUUACCCAGCAGAGCUUUCUGGUAUUCCAAGCUUGCAAAGAGGACAAGUACACAGGAAUGUGUACAUGCCAAUGAAUGUUCAGGGCUUCCUAGUAGUUCAGGUUUGCAUUUGUAUAAAUUUUGAGCAACAGAUAAUGAUGGAUGGGGAAGCAGGAAGUCAGAUCAUUAAGUGCCUUGAGUGUCACCCAAAAUAAGUAAAACUUGGUUUGCUGCAAAUGAGAGCUAUUGAAGAGUGGCAAUCAGAUCUGUAAGUUAGAGAGGAUAGAGGGGGAAAAAGUGCUGAGAAAGUUGGGGAAAGAUUGCCUCCUGAAAGGAAGAAAAAGGAAGUAGUGUAACAGCCAGGGUCAGAGGCGAUUAUGUAGGCCUUGGCCUGUGGAGGUCAAUCAUAGAACAAGAAUGAUAAGAGUAGAUCCAGGAAAUAUUUAGGAGCUCGGAUAUUCAUGCACGGAUUGGACUGAGAAGUCUCCACUCACACUGAUGUAAACAUGGGACAGUUUCAUCUUUCCCAAGCAGCUUCUAAUUACCGACUUUCUUUUUCUCCUGAGAAGCAGACUCUGCAUGACAUCUUAGUAUAAUUUCAUAAUAUUUUGGUCACUUGGGCUCUUAAAAAAGCUUUUUCUGCUCUUCAGAAUUCUCCUCCCUCAGCACAGAUAAGACUUGUGGGAAGGGGCUCCUGGUUGGUUCUUUUCAUUACCACCCCUGCGUUUUCCCUCCAGUCAUACCCCUCAAGCCCCGACCUGCCAAUGGCAGAGUGUGAGGGAGGAGGGGCACUGGCUUCCCUGAACGGCACAGAUUGCUCCUGACAGGCACAUCAUCCCCCUUCUCUUGGCUACUUCGUCUCAGGGCAAAGCUGUCCGCAGACAGACUUCCACCUGUCGGUCCUCUUUUGUGGGUACAUUUGUUUUGUGGGUGCAUCCCUUGCAGUCCUCUGACCUGGGAGAUCUGGCUUGGCCAUGGGCCAAUUCCUCCUUCCCUAAGGCUCCCAUACCUCCCAGACGCCCAGCAGGAGAUCUGUUCACCCCCCAGUUUUCCUGCUGAGGAGGACCCCUGAACCACGGAAUGCCCCUGGCCCAUGGUGGGGUGGGGUGCUGGAGCCAGAAGUGUGACGUGAGCCUCAGUCCCCGGUUGAAGAAGGGAAAUGUAGAGUCACACAUCCUUGCAUGGGAACGCGGACUGCAUCUUUGGGCUCCCUGUCUUGGCUGCCCCUUUCUUCACACCCAACGCCAUUGGAGGUUCUACCAUUUUGAUGGCUCAACAACUUCCAGACAAGCAUUUUUCACCAGUCCCCACUCAGUGUGACAUGGAAAGGGAAGGUUUCGACACCUGUCAUCUUGUAGGAGAGGGACGGAAAGGGUGAAUAUUCUUUAUAGAGAGAAGUGAGACCUGAAUGGGAGGGCUACCAUUCUCCAAACUCUGCCUGUCCCCAGAAGGUGGGGACCCCUUCCUCCAGGUCGUGCUUGUGCCUCUGGCUGAUAAAGACCACCAAAGCAGCUUCUCUUGUACUGGGGGAAAACUGAGGGUCUCACCGGCAGAAAGUAGACGUGGUCCUCACCGUAAUGCCUCGCCCUACUGAUUACUUCCAGACACGGGAAGCAAUGUCAAUCCCUAUCUCACACAGCAUUUUGUUAUAUAACUUCUGGAAAGACUGAAUGUGAAUAGUAAAGAGCCAUAUAAAACAUCCCCAAAAUUUUUUGCCCUGGGAGACUGAAGGGGUAGUGGCAUAAUCCGCCAGGGCAAGUGACACGAAGAGAUGAAGUUGAGGGCAGAUGACAAUGUCCUCCAUUUUAGACGUGUUUAGUCUGAGGUGUUUUUGGCAGAACCAGGUGGAGGUGUUCGGACGCAAGUUGGUUCUACGUAUUUGUGCCUCCAAAGGGAGAAACUCGGGCUGUAGGUACAGAUUAGUAGCUCACUGGCUCGGAGUUGAAGCUACAGAUACUGAUUUCAAAACCACAAGCUUCUCCUAAACUGGAACGAAAACUCCGUUUCUCUCCCAAAUUUGAAAAUUUUCAUAGGAUUGUAGAACUUCACGAGGGAAACACCUCAGAUGUCAUCUCUCUGGUCCCGCUGAUUAUCUUUAGGUAAACAGUGCCUAUCAACACUACUGUAGUUAAAUAUUAGCUUGGGAAUUUAAUUAUCUGAACAAACCCCAAACAAUGUAAUUGUUUUGUAUUAUGUUUAAAAAAAAAAGCCAUUCCUCAUAGAGAUGCAUUUGUGUGGCAGUAAAGAUUCUAUAAUGUUUGUUUCGUGUGAUCAAAGCAGCAAUUUUACCCUCUGAUCCGAGUAUCAUUCCUUAUGGUUUGGGAACUUAGCAAUUAAGACCACAGAUUAUUUUCUCGGUAUCCAUCACUUUGAUAAAUCUUAGGCAGCUACAUGAGUUCUUUAAAGGAAAUAAUAAAUCUAACAAAUAUACCUGAGUGACCAUUUCAGACUAUAUUUAUCCCCUGAAAUCUAAAGCCUUCAUUAGCUUUCUCCAAAGAGUUCUCAUAGAGAGUUAGAGCAUAACUUCAAAUGAUAUUUUCCAAAUUUUUUGAGAUCCCUUACUGGGAAAGAGUCACAGACAUGUUCUUUUACUGAAUGAGAUUAAAUUACACCAACUCUUAGAAAGAGAAUGCUGCAUUCCUAUCG